AGUGAACGCUGGCGGUAGGCCUAACACAUGCAAGUCGAACGGCAGCACAGUAAGAGCUUGCUCUUACGGGUGGCGAGUGGCGGACGGGUGAGGAAUACAUCGGAAUCUACUUUUUCGUGGGGGAUAACGUAGGGAAACUUACGCUAAUACCGCAUACGACCUACGGGUGAAAGCAGGGGAUCUUCGGACCUUGCGCGAUUGAAUGAGCCGAUGUCGGAUUAGCUAGUUGGCGGGGUAAAGGCCCACCAAGGCGACGAUCCGUAGCUGGUCUGAGAGGAUGAUCAGCCACACUGGAACUGAGACACGGUCCAGACUCCUACGGGAGGCAGCAGUGGGGAAUAUUGGACAAUGGGCGCAAGCCUGAUCCAGCCAUACCGCGUGGGUGAAGAAGGCCUUCGGGUUGUAAAACCCUUUUGUUGGGAAAGAAAAGCAGCAGAUUAAUACCCCGCUGUUCUGACGGUACCCAAAGAAUAAGCACCGGCUAACUUCGUG
rnacentral:rRNA from 1 species